UGUUUUGUUUUAUAUAGGCUCCUUGAAGUUCGUGGAAGGCUCUAUGAGCUUCUAACUCAUUGUAUUCCUCCUGAGAUAAUAAUGAAGGGCCUUCUUUCAGAGCUGUUACAUAAUUGUGAUGGACAACUGAAAGGGGAAGUGGCCCAGAUGGCAGCAUAUUACGAACAUCGUCUACAACUGGGUAGCAAAGCCAUUUAUCACUUGGAAGCAUUUGUGGCCAAAUUUAUGGCACUUUAUAAGAAGUUCAUGGAGGAUGGGUUGGAAGGCAUGAUGUUCUAACUUUUAUCAGUAAUUCUUCCAAAUAUUUCUAAGUAUUAGCAUUUAUAUACAGCUUGUAUUAGAAGAGCUGUGGGUAAAAUAAACUAACUUUACUUGAUCAUGUCUUA